CUCGUCGGCCGCCUUGCGCUUCAGCGACACCCCGGCCUCGGCAGCCUGGAAGCCGUAGGAGACCCAUGAAAGCCAAGGGCCCUCCCACGUGUAGGAGGCUGGAACUCCACUUGACUCCAUGCAUAGAGCACAGCCUUCGAGCUCACAGGUGAUGAAUAGUAAUGGCAAGUUACUGGAUGGAAGGGCCUCUGGGAGAGGACAAAAGGGGCGCUGGAAUUCCCAUCAAAGGCCACCGGACACAUGGCAAAGAGAUUAGGACCCUUGGGAUCCUGCUUCCUGGAGCUGCUGCCAUGACCCCCCCUCGCAUGGUCUCUCUGACCAAUCACAGCACCGAAGGGUAAGUCCCACUGGCCAGGGGCCCCCAGGGAGUGUAUUAGCACAUUUGAACCGCUCAGCCCGCAAUGACAAAGCCUGGGGCCUUGGGAGGAGACACAGCAGGAGGGAUGGGGGCCUGUGGGGAGCUUACCUCCCUCCCCUCCCAGGGGAAAGCUCAGGAGUAGAUUAAGCAUUCUGGGGCACAGAGGAAUUUGGGGGCCCCAGCUCCAGCAGUGAAUAAGCGAUCCAUAAAAUCCCAAUUUACACACUCACUGAUCAAACAGCGCAUCUACUACCCCAGGAGGUUGGGGGGGGGUGCUGCUGGGCUGCCCCCACUCUUGCAGAAGGUCCUGGGGAGCCUGGAGCUUCAGUCCCAAUCUCCUCGAGGGGGGCAUCCAUCUCCUGGGCCUGCGGACCUGCCUGUCCUUGCUGUGAUCUGGCGGCCUUUGGGGGAGGUGGCUGGUCAGACGGCCAUCUUGGUCUGCCCUCUGCUGCCUGGAAUUUCAGCACCCGAAGACCAUUCUGGUUCACAGAUGUCCUCUUUUAAACCACGCGCCUCUGGAAGUUGCCAGGCCAUCAGCCACUCACCCCUUGGGAAGAAUCCAUUCAUCCAGCUGGAAACCCUGGGGUUCCCAUACCGCUCUGCCCCUCACAGUCGCCUCCCAUCUAUCUGGCAACGGAGUCCCCCGGACCCUGUUUGAAAUGACACACGGCUGGCUGGCCCCCACGUUUGGACUCCACCACGGCUGGCCCCCACGUUUGGACUCCCUGCCCUCUCCUUCUAAACUUCCUUCUGCAUGGCUGCCCAGGGGGUUCCUUCCAUCUGAAACAGACUCAACCCUCUACUGACUUCAGAGUGCACGCCAAACCCCCAGCCUAGCACCAGACAUGGACCCGUUUGUCCUUCCUCCCAGCCCCAGGCCCUGCCCUUCCAGCCCCCUCUCGCCCCUCCGACCUUACCAGUCCAUUCUCUGGGCAAUACACCUUCACACUUUCAGGCCUUUCUUCCUUCUGGCUCCAGAACACCCUCUCCCCCAGUUCUGCAGCUGGGGUGCUCCCACACUCUUAAAUCACUCUGCUGCUGUUGCUGGCUCCUUGCUGGGUUCCUCUAGCAAGUCCUCUGCACCUCCAUCCUGUCACUCAAAGACCUUAUUUAGAGUUGAUACCACCCGUUAAACCGGGCUUCUCACUCCCUCCCUCCCUGCUCAGAAACCCCUGCCCCUGGGUCUUUGCAGGACAGUUCCAGCAGCCUAUCUGCUCCCUGCCUACCCUGUCCUCUCCCUCCCAAAGGCCUCUACCCAGAAAACCUUCUCUGGUACAAUGGCAGUGGGAAGAGUAGGGCCUUUGAAGUUUCUAUAGUUAAGUACCUGUUUCAGAUAACUCUAUUUCUUUUCUUUUUUUAAAAGAUUUUAUCUAGGGGCUCCAGGGUG